rnacentral:miRNA from 1 species
UUUUUUUUUCAUAUCCC